GACAGAGGAUGCAAGCGUUAUCCGGAAUGAUUGGGCGUAAAGCGUCUGUAGGUGGCUUUUAAGUCCGCCGUCAAAUCCCAGGGCUCAACCCUGGACAGGCGGUGGAAACUACCAAGCUGGAGUACGGUAGGGGCAGAGGGAAUUUCCGGUGUAGCGGUGAAAUGCGUAGAUAUCGGAAGGAACACCUGUGGCGAAAGCGGCUCACUGGACCAUUACUGACGCUGAGGCACGAAAGCUAGGGGAGCAAACAGG
rnacentral:rRNA from 1 species